ensembl:lncRNA
AUGUUAAAACCCUAUCUGUGCCGUGCUGAAGUUAAGGACGAUACUGUCAACAUUUCCGGAGGUGACUCAGCGAUUGAGUUAAAGGAGAGCGCUUCAUUAUUAACUUAUACUUUGCCUACCGAGGAUGUGGAUGAUGGAUUAAAUGUGUCAAUGGAAGUCUUAAGUGGUGGUGGUUUGAAGAACUCUGAGGUUUUAUUAACUCUUCCUUCUCAGCUUUCUUAUUUGUCCAAAGAACAGCAGCAGGAUAUAGGAAAAUUGUUGGGGAGUUUUCCUAAUUUAUUUAAUGACGUUCCACCCGGUACUUCGGUCAUUAAGCAUGAUAUCAACGUUAGUAAUGCAUUGCCAAUUAAGCAACAUGCAUAUUGUUGUCUGGUAAGUAAGAGGGAGGCAAUGAAGUGUGACUUUGCUGUUAAGAGUAGCAGCCCAUGGAGUUCGCCAUGCGUUUUAGUGCCAAAAGCUGAUGGAUCUUUUCAUUUUUGUACGGAUUUCCAUAAGAUUAAUUCCGUUACUACGCCUGACGCUUUUCCGCUACCGCGCAUCAAUGAUUGUAUCAAUAGUCUUGGGGUCGCUAAGUAUAUUACGAAAUUAGAUCUCUUAAAAGGUUAUUGGCAGGUGCCUUUAACCGAGCGCACUUCUGAGAUAUCUGCGUUUGUGACCCCGGAUACGUUCCUUCAAUAUACGUGGAUGGCGUUCAGCCUGCGGAAUGCACCAGCGACAUUUCAGUGCUUGAUGUCCUUGGUUCUGGGCGAAGUUCCUAAUUGUAACAUUUAUUUGGAGGACGUAGUUAUCUACUCCUCUACCUGGGCAGAACACUUGUCGAGUUUACAUGAUGUGUUUCAUCGUUUAUCUGUCGCAUCCCUCACAUUAAAUCUCAAAAAGUGUGAGUUUGCAAAAGCUUCAGUCACCUAUUUGGGAAAACAGGUGGGAAAUGGUCAGGUGAGGCCAAUGGAUGGGAAAAUAGUUGCUGUCCUUGAGGAUCCAUUACCUACUACAAGGCGGGAGCUGCGUAGAUUCCUUGGAAUGGUGGGAUACUACCGGUGUUUCUGUAAGAAUUCUUCAAGUGUUGUUGCUCCUUUGACCCAAUUGUGUAGUCCGAAAGUUUUAGUUGGACUAAUGACUGUCAACAGGCAUUUUGUCUGCAAAAUCCCUUCUUUGCAGUGCUCCUGUCCUCUCUGCUCCGGAGGUGUCCCGUGCAUUCCAACUGGAGGUGGAUGCGAGUGCUGUUGGAGCGGGAGCUGUCCUUCUACAGGAGGGUGCUGA